rnacentral:rRNA from 1 species
CGCCCGUCGCUCCUACCGAUUGGGUGUGCUGGUGAAGAGUUCGGAUUGGCGGCUCCGGACGGUCUCCGUCUGGUGCUGCUGAGAAGUUCUUUAAACCCUCCCACCUAGAGGAAGGAGAAGUCGUAACAAGGUUUCC